UACGUAGGGGGCAAGCGUUGUCCGGAUUUAUUGGGCGUAAAGAGCGUGUAGGCGGCCCGAUAGGUCAGCUGUGAAAACUCGAGGCUCAACCUCGAGACGUCGGUUGAAACCAUCUGGCUAGAGUCCGGAAGAGGAGAGUGGAAUUCCUGGUGUAGCGGUGAAAUGCGCAGAUAUCAGGAAGAACACCCGUGGCGAAGGCGGCUCUCUGGGACGGUACUGACGCUGAGACGCGAAAGCGUGGGGAGCAAACAGG
rnacentral:rRNA from 1 species